rnacentral:rRNA from 1 species
UAUGUAGGGUGCGAGCGUUAAUCGGAAUUACUGGGCGUAAAGCGUGCGCAGGCGGUCUGUUAAGACCGAUGUGAAAUCCCCGGGCUUAACCUGGGAACUGCAUUGGUGACUGGCAGGCUUUGAGUGUGGCAGAGGGAGGUAGAAUUCCACGUGUAGCAGUGAAAUGCGUAGAGAUGUGGAGGAAUACCGAUGGCGAAGGCAGCCUCCUGGGCCAACACUGACGCUCAUGCACGAAAGCGUGGGGAGCAAACAGG